GUCCCAUACAGCCACUAGUCUGCUUUCUGUCACUACAGUUUUUCAUUUUCUAGAAUUUCAUAUAAAUAGAAUCUAACAGUAUACAGUUUUUUAUGUCUGGCUCUUUUACUUAGCAUGAUGCCUUUGAGAUUAAUCUAUGUUGUUGCAUAUGCCAGUAGUUCAUUCCUUUUUGUUGCUGAAUAGUAUUCCAUUGUAUUGAUGUAGACAUUUGAGUUGUUUCCAGUUUUUGGUGAUUAUGAAUAAGGCUCACAUGAACAUUCAUGUACAAGUCUUUGUAUGAACAUACAGACAAUGACUCCAUUUAUCCCACAAGCAAUACAGGACAUGCCCACUUUACAUUUCCUCCCAUUCAAGCCAUUUUAAUAAAGAUUUACUAUUCCUUGUGCUAGACAUUGUAUAGGAAUACAGACACAGUUAAGCCCCAUGGAAAUUACAAUAUAGUGGGAGAAAUACAUGCACACAUGGGUCAUUCACAUGCAAAGCAGAUCACUGAGAUAGAGGAACCAACAACGAGGGGACAGGGAGAGAGCACACUGACUGAGGGGAUGGGGGAAAUCAGGAAGGAUUGCUUAUAGGAGGCAGAAGCAGUGUGAAUAAAGACCUGGAUGAAAGAAGGCAGGACUUGUUUGAGGGCUGAUAAAUACUCACGUUAAAUUCUAUCUCACUUGGGCAGCCAUCCCUGUAAAGCCAUCGUAAGUGCUUGUCCUCCUCAAAACUUCUGCAGUGUACUCUUCAUACUGCCAAUCAGCUUUCCUUGUCAAGAGAGGGAGUCUUUCAGCCUACUUUGCAAAUAAAGCUAUAUCCCUACAGGGUCUGAGCCCAAGAGCCAAGCAUUUGAUCCAAGGGUUGGUUGGUGGUAUCCUCAAAUGUGGCCCAAAGAGAGGCUAGGAUAUGGGAGAACAUGUCUACACUAAUUGGAAAGCCAGCCAAAGGGAGGAGCAGGUCCAGAGCAGGCAGGAGCAGUCCUCAACCUGGGCAGCUGGUGCACAUGUACACAGGUGUCUCUUCAAAUUCAUUGUCUAUGGCAAAGCGAUGUCAACUCCACAUGGAUGAAUGAAUGAACAUAUGUCACCAGUAGGCUCUCAUAUGUGUUCCAGUAUAUUGUACAUUCAAUCUGGAUCAAUCAGAUGUGCAGACACUUGAACAACCUACAGUUCUCUCUUGCUGUUUUCUGGUUAAGUGCUCAGCAGUCCACAUGAGGAUUCGUCUAAGAAAAUAAUUUCUUUGCAUUCUGAUGCUGUAAAGUAUUGCUUGGAUUAAAAGGGCAGGAACAAAUUGAUGGAUCUGAAAUUUUUUUUCUUUUGGCUUGGAGAUGACAGGGCAAUCCAUCAGACAACUUCCUUGGCUCCCUGUGACAUUUCAAGCUCAAAUGUUAUAGCUUUCUUAUUUUUUCUUUUCUCUCUUUUUUUUUCACCCCCAGCUCUCUAUUGAACUGUGCCUCCAGGAAAUGCAUCCUGUUGAUGUGAGUUCUAUGACACUUGUCAUACAGGAGGCACUCGGUAGAGGCUUGUGGAAUAAUGGUUGGGAGUACUCAGGUUAGCUUAGCAGGUUGUGCCAAAGAGGAGGUAACUGCUUAACCCACCUAUGAUGCUGCCUCCAUCUGUGCCCUAGAGCAUGCAGCAAAGAGUUCUUUCAAAAUAGAGCAGGCUCCAGACAAUGUUCAAGGAUGCAGCUGCCCACAGAAUGUGCUUUCAGCAUCUGGAUUAUAUGCAGAGAGAAAACACGAGAAGUCAGAAUGCUUGGCCCCUCACCUGGAUCUGCCACGAUGCAUAAUGUGAAUUUGGAAAUGCUAUUUAACUUCUCCAAGACAUAGCUUAUCAACCUUUGAGCCAGAGAAAAUAAUCCAGAGAUCUGCUGGGGGAUGGUGUGAGCCCAAAGAAGCCGAUUUCCUUCUUGAAGGGGGUGAGAAGAAGGGAGACUGUGACUUGACCAAGCCAAUCGGCAAACUACCUUCCCUCCCAACAGAAGUUGAUUUGUUCAGGAGGAGGCAUGUGACAAAAGCUGGGCCACUCAGAGCCCAUCUAAGGACUUCACUGAAAUGCUGACAUAAAGCAGCCACUUGUGCCACAGGGGGAAAGCCAGCCUCAAGUGAAACUGUCUCGCAAAGAAAUAGAGAUGAAUGACUUGUAGAGAACUGGAAACAAACAAAAUGAAACUUGCAGAGAAAAUAUUGCAAGUAAAUGUUGAACCUCUGGAUCGAACCAUGGCUGAGUCCCUCCUGGCUCUGACUUUUCAGUUAGAUCUCCAAGAGGACCCUCCUGCCUCUGCUUCUCUUCCUCCCCUGAAGUCAAUUUUGCAGUGUGCUGGUCAGCCUCAUCCAGCCCCUCUUUUCUGGGAACUGCUCUAACUCUAUGGCUGGAUUGACUGGCCAAGAGACAGACACCAGGGUGAGCUGGAUCAUCAGACAGUCUCUCCUAGGAAUGUGAAAUACGAAUUCAGAGAGGCUGGCAGCCCAUUGUUCAUGGGAAUGCAGAAGCUAUGGGGCUGAGAAACCCCUUUCCAUCCAGACGGAAAGAAGGGUCCAGUUUCCUCUGAAGUUUGCAAGGACACAUGGAAGGUCAGCAGAAACUUGGCCAUCUCAGUGUCCUGGUGGGUGAUUUUUACGAGGAUUUCUCAUCACAGAGGAUGGGAACCCAAAGGAGAAUGGCCGCCAUUGGAGCCUUUCCUGUCCCUCCACUGCUCAAAACAACUGAACUCUGUGUCAGUUGGGCUGCAAGUAAAGAAAACUCAACUAAUGGAGGCCUCAUUGAACAGGAGUUCAUUUUACUCACGUAACAAACCUAUGUGGUCCCAGGAUUGUCUCACGGCCCAGUAAAGGCAAAGCAUGGCGUUAGCAAGUCUGAGAUGUUCUUGAAUUUCCCCCCAUUGCUGCAAGAUGGCCCCUACAGCUCCAAACAUCACAUCCUCAAUGGUGAAUAAAGCUGAUCUCCAACUGGGAAGAACCUCUGUCUCCUGGUGUGGUGAAGGCUGUUGGAGCAUCUGCAGGAGCAUCCAAACCCUGUGCUAUUGGGGUAGUCCAUGCCCUUCAAGCCAGUCAUGGCUUUCCUGUUUCCUCUGUCAAAUACUGGCUAAGGAUAGGUCUGUGAUGCAAUUCUGGCCAGUGAGACAUGAUGGAAGAGCUGCUGGGUGAAAUUCUGGGAAAAGUUCCCUUACUCUUUAGAAGAUGGAUCCAGGAGAAGAGAGUCUCUUUUGCUGAGUGUUGUCAUAUCUGGAGGUGAUGCCUGGAACUGUGGCAGCUGACUUGUGAUUAUGAGGGAAGCUGGCCUGAAAACAGACUGGCCCACUGAAGAGGAGGGCAGCAUGGAAUGUGGAAUAAACCUGGGUCCCUGUUGGCUUCCUGCGGCCCUGAUCUAACCAGCCCUGAGCUGUCCUACCUCUGCACUGCUUGGCACAGGAGACACAUCUUGAUUGUUUAAGCCCCUUUGAGUUGGGUUUUCUGUUCCUUGCAGCUGACAGCACUCUAACCAAUCCACACAUUUCCCUCUGCUCGAUUUCCUGCUCCAGAGAGACAGGCACAGACCAGUACCGGGCAGCCCCACUCUGGGGAAAAACAACAGUGCUUAUUGUUUGCCGGCACAGUGGGAGCUCUGCCUCCUGGCACAGUGGGAGCUCUGCCUCCUGUGGCAGGCUGGCCAUUCCAAAACCACACUGCCUGCCACUGCCAUAAAGAGGCCAGGACUGUGUUCAAAACCCCAGGCAGCAGGAGGAGUGGUUUGUGGGAGGUGUUGUGGUAGUGCAUAAAGGAAGGUCAUUUCCUGACCCUCAGAACCCACACUGCCCUCAGCCCCACACAGCCCUACCCAGCCCAGCAUCGCCCCCAGUGCCCCUGGAGACAAUAAUGGCAGCCACCCACUGGCUGCUCCUGUGCGGGCAGGGCAGGAAAGCUGGUGGUUAAGUGCUGGAGAACCCCCAGGCCCUGGGCUUGGCCGGAAAGGAUUUCUGUAGAGACAGCGUGGACAUUCUGUCCUCUGCAGGCCGCCUGGUACAGGAUGAAAACAGGCCGGCUCAGUACUUUUUUGGCAACCGAUUAUAUAGAUUUGCAUCCACAUGAGCUCCCUCUUGCAAUGAACCAGGCCCCCACAAGGGCUCUCCCCACAGUCAUUUGUGUUGAGAACGCUCUGAGCCCUUGAGCCUCCUUCCUCUCUGGGAAAGGGACUUGUUGGCAGUGAGAAGAACCUAGAGGGAGGCACUUCUGGAGGCAUUUCCUUUCUGGGAGGAAAUGCUCCAGGGCUCUCCUCCAUCCACCAACAGCCUCCAAGUUGAGUAAGUGGCAGCGAAGGUCACGCCUGAGCUGGCAGCCAUGGAACCUCACCUCCUGCUUUUCCAGCUUCGUUCCCAAAGACGUCCCUCCACGAGCUUGUGCUCAUGCCAUGCCUAUGCUGGAAGCCCUUGCUGUCUGCAGGUGGCGAUGUGACCCGGGCCUGGCCCUGGGGAUUUGUUCAGGCGUGUCACUCUUUCUGACCAAAGGGGACCAGCCUUGGGGCUUUUGUGGAAACCUCUGAGAAAGGGAGGUCCACAAUUCUGGUUUCCUAGCUGGAGAGAAUACGCCUGGCCCUGCUGGCAACCAUCUUUCCCACCCAAGGGAGUCAGCCUGGACAUUUUAGUCACUUGAGUCAAUAAAUUCUGUUUGCAAAGAAAAAAAAAAAUCGCUUUGAGCCGGGCUUUCUGUGGCUUACAGUGGAAACUCAUUAGUAAUAUAAAUGCAGAUAUCCCUCUUAGGCCAAAGUAAUCUCUCCUUUCUUGCUUGCUCUAUACCACACACACCUGCUUCAUUGGCAUUUACUGUUUCCCCACCUGCACGGGUGACCUUAGCCCCCCUGCACAAAGGCCUGGACGUCGCUGCCUCUGCAGCUGCCCCAGAUCCAGGUGCCGUUAAUUUUACCCUCAAGUUGCGCUAAACUACUCAGUGAAUUAUUGUUGGUCCAAUAAAACCACUUUUGUUUUAUUUAUUCUUUUGUCUCCACACUCACUCCCAUUCCCUUCCCCUGCAUGGGCAACAUGCUCCCCAUAGAUUCCCCCACCUCCUGUGCUGCUUUAAAAAUGCUCUUUCAAAAGAGAUACAGUCUUUAUGUGUUUUUUAAUGUCUGCAAAUGGUAAUGUUUGGGUUCCCAUGUUGCUUCUUCCUUUUUAAACUCAGCCCUGUGUUCAGGCCCAUCCAUGUGGCUAUGUGUGCCUUUCAUCUCUCCUUGUGGCUGCAUAAUUCUCCAUGGUGUGGACCAUUCCCAUUUUGUCUCUCCAUUCUCCCCAGGAUAGAAACCCUAGGGUGCCUCCCGCAGCCCCCAUCCCCAC
rnacentral:lncRNA from 10 species